rnacentral:rRNA from 1 species
UGGGGAAUAUUGCACAAUGGGCGAAAGCCUGAUGCAGCAACGCCGCGUGAGUGAUGAAGGCCUUCGGGUUGUAAAGCUCUGUCUUUUGGGACGAUAAUGACGGUACCAAAGGAGGAAGCCACGGCUAACUACGUGCCAGCAGCCGCGGUAAUACGUAGGUGGCAAGCGUUGUCCGGAUUUACUGGGCGUAAAGGAUGCGUAGGCGGAUUUUUAAGUGAGAUGUGAAAACCCUAAGCUUAACUUGGGGACUGCAUUUCAUACUGGAAAUCUAGAGUGCGGGAGAGGAGAAUGGAAUUCCUAGUGUAGCGGUGAAAUGCGUAGAGAUUAGGGAGAACACCAGUGGCGAAGGCGAUUCUCUGGACCGUAACUGACGCUGAGGCAUGAAAGCGUGGGUAGCAAACAGGAUUAGAUACCCUGGUAGUCCACGCCGUAAACGAUGAGUACUAGGUGUAGGAGGUAUCGACCCCUUCUGUGCCGCAGUUAACACAAUAAGUACUCCGCCUGGGAAGUACGAUCGCAAGAUU